rnacentral:lncRNA from 1 species
GAGGUGCUCAGCGUCAAAAGAAGGACCCGCCAUGGAACCGUGGGUCUUUUUAUUUUUCUCCUUUUCUUUUUGUGAUACAUGGAGGGGCAAAACCCUAAUGGAGCUCCUUCUUCAGGUACAGCGACAUCUAGCUACUGGGGAUUCUGAUUCGUGAUUUGCUGAAGUUCCUCUCUUAGGUCCAACGACCUCAAGCUAGCUGCUAGGGCACAAUCCAGCGAUUCCAUACCCUUGGUCUCAUGAAUUAGUCUUGGAAGUAUUGUUUUGUGCAUACAGUAUUUCUAAAGUUUGGCUAUUCUUAUUUUUCAGAAUAUGACGGAUACCUAAAGCUGACUAAGGCUGGUUGUAAGUAGCUAUGAAAUCCGAAACAUUUGUCCAGGAUGGGUCCUUGACGACGGAUAUGUGCUACUAAACAUUAAAAAGAUAUAGGAGAUGAUAUAGCUUGAGAUGGAGUAUUUGAUGUCCCAGAGUUGCCAAACAAGUAAACUGUUUAUUAACAGAUGUUCACUUCAAAAUUUGUCUAGCAUUCGACUACUCAAGCCAGUAAACAAGCUAGCUUAGAAUUAGGCUUGGUUAGUUCAAAUAAAUCUUGGUUAACCUUAAAAAUAAAAUUAAUUAUUUAAAUAUAUAUAUCAUAUAUAUUUACUUAUUAUUUUAAAAAAUAUUUUUAUAUUUAUUUAUUAAAGACUAAUAUGACUUGCCACA